AGCGAACGCUGGCGGCAGGCCUAACACAUGCAAGUCGAGCGGAUGAAGGGAGCUUGCUCCUGGAUUCAGCGGCGGACGGGUGAGUAAUGCCUAGGAAUCUGCCUGGUAGUGGGGGACAACGUUUCGAAAGGAACGCUAAUACCGCAUACGUCCUACGGGAGAAAGCAGGGGACCUUCGGGCCUUGCGCUAUCAGAUGAGCCUAGGUCGGAUUAGCUAGUUGGUGAGGUAAUGGCUCACCAAGGCGACGAUCCGUAACUGGUCUGAGAGGAUGAUCAGUCACACUGGAACUGAGACACGGUCCAGACUCCUACGGGAGGCAGCAGUGGGGAAUAUUGGACAAUGGGCGAAAGCCUGAUCCAGCCAUGCCGCGUGUGUGAAGAGGGUCUUCGGAUUGUAAAGCACUUUAAGUUGGGAGGAAGGGUUGUAGAUUAAUACUCUGCAAUUUUGACGUUACCGACAGAAUAAGCACCGGCUAACUCUGUGCCAGCCGCCGCAGUAAAAC
rnacentral:rRNA from 1 species